CCUACGGGAGGCAGCAGUGAGGAAUAUUGGUCAAUGGACGAGAGUCUGAACCAGCCAAGUAGCGUGAAGGAUGACUGCCCUAUGGGUUGUAAACUUCUUUUAUAUGGGAAUAAAAUGUUCCACGUGUGGGAUUUUGUAUGUACCAUAUGAAUAAGGAUCGGCUAACUCCGUGCCAGCAGCCGCGAUAAUACGGAGGAUCCGAGCGUUAUCCGGAUUUAUUGGGUUUAAAGGGAGCGUAGGUGGAUUGUUAAGUCAGUUGUGAAAGUUUGCGGCUCAACCGUAAAAUUGCAGUUGAAACUGGCAGUCUUGAGUACAGUAGAGGUGGGCGGAAUUCGUGGUGUAGCGGUGAAAUGCUUAGAUAUCACGAAGAACUCCGAUUGCGAAGGCAGUUCACUGGACUGCAACUGACACUGAGGCUCGAAAGUGUGGGUAUCAAACAGGAUUAGAUACUCCUGUAGUC
rnacentral:rRNA from 1 species